rnacentral:rRNA from 1 species
UACGUAGGUGGCAAGCGUUAUCCGGAUUUAUUGGGCGUAAAGAGGACGCGGGCGGUCUUUUAAGUCUGAUGUGAAAGCCUUCGGCUUAACCGGAGUAGUGCAUUGGAAACUGGGAGACUUGAGUGCAGAAGAGGAGAGUGGAACUCCAUGUGUAGCGGUGAAAUGCGUAGAUAUAUGGAAGAACACCAGUGGCGAAAGCGGCUCUCUGGUCUGUAACUGACGCUGAGGUUCGAAAGCGUGGGUAGCAAACAGG